UACAGAGGUGGCGAGCGUUACUCGGAUUUAUUGGGUGUAAAGGGCAAGUAGGCGUCUUGACAAGUUGGGGGUGAAAUCCUGCAGCUCAACUGCAGAACUGCUCUCAAAACUGUUGAGAUUGAGACUGGGAGAGGAAAGCGGAAUUCUCGGUGUAAGAGUGAAAUCUGUAGAUAUCGAGAGGAACACCAGUGGCGAAGGCGGCUUUCUGGUCCAGUACUGACGCUGAAUUGCGAAAGCUAGGGGAGCAAACAGG
rnacentral:rRNA from 1 species